rnacentral:tRNA from 1 species
CAUUAAGUUACUUAAAAGCAAGUAUUGGUCUCUUAAACCAAAUUAUAGUAAUAUGCGAAUACUCUUAAUGG